ensembl:lncRNA
GACAGACAGACGGACGUGGAGGGGGACAGACGGACAGACGGGGACCGGGACAGAUGGGGACAGACGGACAGAUGGCGAUAAGGACAGACAGAUGGACAGGGAUGGGGACAGACAGACAGACACGGACAGAUGGGGCCAGAUGGGGAUAAGGACAGACGGACGGACACGGAUGGGGACAGACGGACAGAUGGACGUGGAGGGGGACAGACGGACACGGAUAGGGACAGACAGACGGACAGACGGAGACAGAUGGGGAUAAGGACAGACAGACGGACGUGGAGGGGGACAGACGGACAUAGGGAGAAGGGGACACAGAUGGGGACGGACAGACAGACAGUGAUAAGGACAGAUGGACAUGGAUGGGGACAGACAGACACAGAUGGGGACAGACAGACGGAC